AUUGAACGCUGGCGGCAUGCUUUACACAUGCAAGUCGAACGGCAGCGCGGGCUUCGGCCUGGCGGCGAGUGGCGAACGGGUAAGUAAUGCAUCGGAACGUGCCCAGUAGUGGGGGAUAGCCCGGCGAAAGCCGGAUUAAUACCGCAUACGACCUGAGGGUGAAAGCGGGGGACCGAAAGGCCUCGCGCUAUUGGAGCGGCCGAUGUCGGAUUAGCUAGUUGGUGGGGUAAAGGCUUACCAAGGCGACGAUCCGUAGCUGGUCUGAGAGAACGACCAGCCACACUGGGACUGAGACACGGCCCAGACUCCUACGGGAGGCAGCAGUGGGGAAUUUUGGACAAUGGGGGCAACCCUGAUCCAGCCAUGCCGCGUGCGGGAAGAAGGCCUUCGGGUUGUAAACCGCUUUUGUUCGGGAAGAAAUCCUCUGGGCUAAUACCCCGGGGGGAUGACGGUACCGGAAGAAUAAGCACCGGCUAACUACGUG
rnacentral:rRNA from 1 species